GGAAAUAAAUAAGAUAUAGGAUUCCACUAUGUAUGGUCUAUGAAUUACAUCAUAAAAGGCAAUGUGAUAAAGCAUCAAUAUAAUAAAAAUAAUAGAGAAUUAAAAAUUUUAACUUGAAACAAGAACUACAAAUUUAAAGCAAUAAUAAAGAGCCGCCCGGGUUAAUAAAACUGAGAAAAUUAACUCGGAAAGAAAUUUUUUGGAAGCUCCGUUGCGGGAUUCAGACCUAACCAUUCAAGGAGAAGCAGUGGGAACGACAGAACCUAUGAUUCCAUAGGAUUUUAUUGAAAAGAAUCCUAACACUUCAUUGGGUGGGAUGGCGGAACAAACCAAAAAAAUUGUCUUAUUUGGUAAGUUUAUAAAUUAACAAAUAAGACAGGAAAGAGUAAAUAUUCGCCCGCGAAAUUCUUAUUGAAUUAGAAUACUUUACCGCGAUUCAAUAAGAGUAAAAAUAAGGAUUUUUUUAAGAAGGAUUACAUUAUCUAUAAAUAUAGAAUUUAGAUAAAUAUACACACACAUCUGGAUAUAUUCUAGAUCUUCUUUUUUGACUAUAUAUUAUAUUUUUCUGUUUUAACAAAUUCAAUAUAAAAAAACCGAACUUUUUCUAUUAUCUAUUAAUGUGUAUCUAUCCGUACCGUAAUAUUUUUGAAUAUUAUGAAUUAGAGAAAUUUACAUGCUUUCUCAUUCCAUUCGCGAGGAGCUGGAUGAGAAGAAACUCUCAUGUCCAGUUUUGCAGUAGAGAUGGAACUAAGAAAGAGAACCAUCGACUAUAACCCCAAAAGAACCAGAUUUCGCAAACCACAUAGAGGAAGAAUGAAAGGAAAAUCUUGCCGAGGCAAUCGUAUUUGUUUUGGUAGAUAUGCUCUUCAAGCACUUGAACCCCCUUGGAUCACGGCGAGACAGAUAGAAGCAGGACGAAGAGCAAUAACACGAUAUGCACGUCGUGGUGGAAAAAUAUGGGUACGUAUAUUUCCCGACAAACCGGUUACACUAAGACCCACGGAAACACGUAUGGGCUCGGGAAAGGGGUCCCCCGAAUAUUGGGUAUCCGUUGUUAAACCUGGUCGUAUACUUUAUGAAAUGGGGGGAGUAUCUGAAACUGUAGCUAGAGCAGCUAUCUCCAUAGCUGCCAGUAAAAUGCCCAUACGAAGUCAAUUUAUUCGAUUAGAGAUAUAGAACCCUAAAAGGGGUAUGGAAGAUAAAAAAAAAUGCCCGGUUUUUCUUUCUGGAAAGACAAUAUUUCUUUCAUCCUUUUGCAUUGAAAUAACAAAUUGAAAUCAAAAUAAAAAAUAAUAUGAUUCAACCUCAGACCCUUUUAAAUGUAGCAGAUAAUAGUGGAGCUCGAAAAUUGAUGUGUAUUCGAGUCAUAGGAGCUNNNNNNNNNNAAAGGGCUCGAAUAGAAAAAUAGAAUCAGACUCAAGUUCCGAAGUAAUUACACAUAAUAGAAAAAUGGACUCAGGUUCAAGUUCCGAAGUAAUUACACAUAUAGAAAUCCAAAAAGAAAUCGAUACGAUCCACGUCAUAAUCCAUAUUGGAUUCCCAAAUUUAUUAAAGAAAAAAGGAGCAAUCGAAGAAUUAGAGAAAGAUCUACAAAAGGAAAUUAACUCUGUAAACCAGAGAUUUAAUAUUUCUAUCGAAAAAGUGAAAGAACCUUAUAGACAGCCUAACAUUCUUGCAGAAUAUAUAGCUUUCCAAUUAAAAAAUAGAGUUUCAUUCCGAAAGGCAAUGAAAAAAGCCAUUGAAUUAACUAAAAAAGCAGAUAUAAGGGGAGUAAAAGUAAAAAUUGCGGGUCGUCUCGGAGGAAAAGAAAUUGCACGCGCCGAAUCUAUUAAAAAGGGUAGACUUCCCCUCCAAACAAUUCACGCUAAAAUUGAUUAUUGCUGCUAUCCAAUUCGGACUAUCUAUGGAGUAUUAGGUGUAAAAAUUUGGAUAUUCGUAGACGAAGAAUAAGUAAUCUUGUCUUUGGAUUCUGUCCAUUGAUAGAAUAAAAAAUGACAAGAGACUUUUUUCCUGAAAUCCCUGCAAAAGAAGAAAUUAUACCUCUUUCUAUAAGAUUUAAUGAAAAUUGAUAAAUCAUUUAAUAUAAUUGCUAUGCUUAGUGUGUGACUCGUUAUUUUUUUCUUUUUUUUAAGAAAAAAACUUAGUAAUUAUAGAAAAUUAACUAAUAACCAACCUAUUGCUUCGUAUUGUCGAGAUCCUAACUAAGAAACAGUCACUAUAUGAAUAAAUACCUCUAUCAUAAAUGAGUAGAUGUGUCAUAUAGUUGUAGCAACUGCAAUUUUUUCUCUAAAAAAGAAAAGGGAUUCUAGGUUGUGAAGCAAAACUAAAGGGAUGUGGAUAAAGGGAGGGAUGAUAGAAAGAAGGAAGAUGAAAUAAAUAAGAUAUAGGAUUCCACUAUGUAUGGUCUAUGAAUUACAUCAUAAAAGGCAAUGUGAUAAAGCAUCAAUAUAAUAAAAAUAAUAGAGAAUUAAAAAUUGUAACUUGAAACAAGAACUACAAAUUUAAAGCAAUAAUAAAGAGCCGCCCGGGUUAAUAAAACUGAGAAAAUUAACUCGGAAAGAAAUUUUUUGGAAGCUCCGUUGCGGGAUUCAGACCUAACCAUUCAAGGAGAAGCAGUGGGAACGACAGAACCUAUGAUUCCAUAGGAUUUUAUUGAAAAGAAUCCUAACACUUCAUUGGGUGGGAUGGCGGAACAAACCAAAAAAAUUGUCUUAUUUGGUAAGUUUAUAAAUUAACAAAUAAGACAGGAAAGAGUAAAUAUUCGCCCGCGAAAUUCUUAUUGAAUUAGAAUACUUUACCGCGAUUCAAUAAGAGUCAAAAUAAGGAUUUUUUUAAGAAGGAUUACAUUAUCUAUAAAUAUAGAAUUUAGAUAAAUAUACACACACAUCUGGAUAUAUUCUAGAUCUUCUUUUUUAACUAUAUAUUAUAUUUUUCUGUUUUAACAAAUUCAAUAUAAAAAAAACCGAACUUUUUCUAUUAUCUAUUAAUGUGUAUCUAUCCGUACCGUAAUAUUUUGGAAUAUUAUGAAUUAGAUAAAUUUACAUGCUUUCUCAUUCCAUUCGCGAGGAGCUGGAUGAGAAGAAACUCUCAUGUCCAGUUUUGCAGUAGAGAUGGAACUAAGAAAGAGAACCAUCGACUAUAACCCCAAAAGAACCAGAUUUCGCAAACAACAUAGAGGAAGAAUGAAAGGAAAAUCCUGCCGAGGCAAUCGUAUUUGUUUUGGUAGAUAUGCUCUUCAAGCACUUGAACCCGCUUGGAUCACGGCGAGACAGAUAGAAGCAGGACGAAGAGCAAUAACACGAUAUGCACGUCGUGGUGGAAAAAUAUGGGUACGUAUAUUUCCCGACAAACCGGUUACACUAAGACCCACGGAAACACGUAUGGGCUCGGGAAAGGGGUCCCCCGAAUAUUGGGUAUCCGUUGUUAAACCUGGUCGUAUACUUUAUGAAAUGGGGGGAGUAUCUGAAACUGUAGCUAGAGCAGCUAUCUCCAUAGCUGCCAGUAAAAUGCCCAUACGAAGUCAAUUUAUUCGAUUAGAGAUAUAGAACCCUAAAAGGGGUAUGGAAGAUAAAAAAAAAUGCCCGGUUUUUCUUUCUGGAAAGACAAUAUUUCUUUCAUCCUUUUGCAUUGAAAUAACAAAUUGAAAUCAAAAUAAAAAAUAAUAUGAUUCAAC
rnacentral:lncRNA from 1 species